rnacentral:rRNA from 1 species
UACAGAGGGUGCGAGCGUUAAUCGGAAUUACUGGGCGUAAAGCGUGCGUAGACGGUUAUUUAAGUCGGAUGUGAAAGCCCCGGGCUCAACCUGGGAAUUGCAUUCGAGACUGAAUAGCUAGGGUACGGUAGAGGGAAGUGGAAUUUCCGGUGUAGCGGUGAAAUGCGUAGAUAUCGGAAGGAACAUCAGUGGCGAAAGCGACUUCCUGGACCAGUACCGACGUUCAGGCACGAAGGCCAGGGGAGCAAACGGG